GUAGGGUGCAAGCGUUAAUUGGAAUUACUGGGCGUAAARCRUGCGCAGGCGGYUUUGUAAGUCUGUCGUGAAAGCCCCGGGCUCAACCUGGGAAUUGCGAUGGAGACUGCAAGGCUUGAAUCUGGCAGAGGGGGGUAGAAUUCCACGUGUAGCAGUGAAAUGCGAGAGAUGUGGAGGAACACCGAUGGCGAAGGCAGCCCCCUGGGUCAAGAUUGACGCUCAUGCACGAAAGCGUGGGGAGCAAACAGGAUUAGAUACCCUGGUAGUCCACGCCCUAAACGAUGUSUMCUAGUUGUCGGGUUUUAAUUAACUUGGUAACGCAGCUAACGCGUGAAGUAGACCGCCUGGGGAGUACGGUCGCAAGAUUAAAACUCAAYSGAAUUGACGGGGACCCGCACAAGCGGUGGAUGAUGUGGAUUAAUUCGAUGCAACGCGAAAAACCUUACCUACCCUUGACAUGGAAGGAAUCCUGGAGAGAUCCGGGAGUGCCCGAAAGGGAACCUUCWCACAGGUGCUGCAUGGCUGUCGUCAGCUCGUGUC
rnacentral:rRNA from 1 species